rnacentral:lncRNA from 1 species
CUGAAGAUUAUAUACCAGUGGUACUAGAAUUCAAUUAAAUUUAAAUGCAGCAUAACAGUUCUGCAGCCAAAAAUACAUCGUUCAUAUCAGUUCGUUUCAUUACUGCAUUCAAAAACUACCAAGAACAGAUUUCGCAUAAGGUAGCAACCAAAUCUACCUAAAAAAAAAAAAAAAAAGAAAACUCAAAAAGAUUUCUACAUAAUAACCAACUAGACAAUGCUGCCUCAUCACUAAACAUAUAUGAAUAGUACUACGCCAGACAUUCUUCAAAUUACUUAUCUUUCUCUUCCUCCUCGCACUACGUGGGAUGGGACGAGGUCAAAAUCUGUCUCGUAACCUCAUUUUAUCUUCUCACACGUAUGCUUAUAAAGAUGGACUGCCAAUUGCGACUCCAAACUAUUAGGAUCAACAUUCUUCGACAUCAUACUUAUCUUUUGAUGCAUAACGAACUCCGUAUACUUAGGAAUGACAAU